rnacentral:lncRNA from 1 species
UUAAACACAUAUCUCUGAUUAUGAAGUUAUCAUGCUGCCCACCCAUUGCUCUUAUUUUCAAUCAUGGUUAGCUUUUCAUUCUUCGCUCUAAUUGUUAGAAAUUCAAAAGAUUCUAUGUUAUGGUGUCUCCAAACAAGAGUAUUGAAGUGUCACAACAAUACAACCUUGUCGUCGCACAACCUGUCCUCAAUGUCGUUGGUCGUCUUAUUGGAACUGUGUUUAAAUUGUAUUAUGCUG